AUGGAAGUGUUUUCUCAAUUCUCUGAUACCUAAUGAGGUGUGUUUUUGUCCAGACAUUCUGGAGUGCAAUUUAUUUUCAAAAAAAAAAUAACACCUGCCUUUGUCAUGCAUUAAAGAUCAUUGUGAACUAUGAAAAUACAUCAGACAUCUUGGUUAUUCACGCCUUCUACAGGUCACUUUUCCUGAUCUUGAUGUACACAGCUUACUGAAGCGUCAUUUGUAGCUAUGAGAACAUAUCAAACAUUUUAUCCUUAAGGCCGUUCAGAGGUAAGUUUCCUGACCUACAAUGUCCAAAGCUUGUGAUUUAACAGUUUCCCUAUCUCUGGUAGUUAAUCAUAUCUAGUUACUGUCAUAUAUGAAUUGAGCCUUUUCGGUUCAUUUGGGAACUUGUCACUCUCAAUUUCAUUGUUGAAGGUUAACAUGUCGGAAGCCAACAACACGACUCUAAUACUCCCAAAAGAUUAACAAUGCCCAGAGCAUAACCUGGUACUACAAUCUCCAAAUCACAAGGAUAUUUUAUUCCCUUUUUUUAGUUUUUUUAGCAGAGCUUUAUUCUCUCUUUAGUGGUCCAGUGAUGACGAUGUUACAGUGUGUGUUGCUUUCUCUGCUCUCUGGUAGGUUGAUUGCAAAUCUGCAUGCGAGAACACUCGGGGCCAUUAUCAGCCCCCCUGUCCCGGAUAAGUAGCCCUGAACCAAUAGGCCCAGCAGAUUCUGCAUCUGUUCAGCUAUUUCAAUGUCACGGACCAUAUUUUGCAUACAAAAGCUUCUUUUGCAUCUAAGACAUUUUAAAUGUCCCGGGAUUUGCUCGAUCCUCUUGUUUGCACAUGUUUUCUCCAAUCUCCAUCUUCCUCUUCUUAUAUUGGUGCAGAGUCUUCUUCUUAGGAAGCUCCCAAACCGCCUUUGUAAUCCACUCCUGAGCAAACUCAUUCCCAGCAUCAUGAGGGAUUCCUUUCAGGCUAUAGUCGAAUUUUGAAUCCAAAUCUGACCAUGCAAUAUUCUUCAGGUUCCACAGCAUGGACUUGUCAUGUGAGUAUCAGCCAAAUGCAUUUUACUGACUUCCGUCAAGGCAGGUGUGAACUCCAGCUUUUCCUUACUGACUAGCUUCCAAAUCGCAAAAAAAGAUGCUAUCCCAUCCUUCACGGAGCCAGUAGUCAUGAUCCAGGCUCCAGGGAUGUGCUCUUUGUAAGCAGUGUAAGCUAAAUACGGAGUCAGUUUGGGAUAUCUGGUCGUCAUCAUCAGUGCUUCGUCAGCUCCUCUAGUUUCCAUCUCUGUCCACUCGUCUGAUCCUUGAUUCCCAAUAUAAUAUUUUAGCCAGUGGAGUUUUUCUGACAUUAUUUGAGGACGAGGUGGGGAAGUAAAAUUAUUUGAUGAUGAUGUUCCUUGGCUUUUAUUUGUCGCACUGAUGUAAGCCAAAUUUCAUCAUGGCCUGGUUUACCAAAUUUCUUCUCUUGUUCUUAUAGAACAAAAAAAGUGCAAGUUAAUGUAGUGCUUAACUGCUUACACUGGUUGAAUAAGGUAUUGCUUUAUCUAGCCCUGUGCUGUAAUACCUAUUGAAAAUUUUCCAUCCAUUUUACGUAGAUGAGAUCCAGGAAGUCCUUAUUGUUACUACACAUUAUCUAGCUUGGUGCUAGUCUUCCUGUUCCAUCGAAAAAUUGAUUUUAUGAAUCUAAUAUUUUGUGUUUGGAAUUAUUUCUCAAAUGCUGUGUAUUUUAUGACUAUUUUCAUUUUUCACCCUUGAUGAUUCAACUGUUAGCUCUGCGUCGAAGAUAAACUAUACCUUCCAAUUUGUCCAUUCCGGUUUUUGAUCUAGUAUUUUCUCUUUGAAGCAUGAACAAUGCAAAUGGUAUGACAUACAACAAGUUAAGGCUUUGAUAGAAGUUUCUUAGGUUACUGGUUUGCUAAGUAGAGGUGGAUUAGUUGUAGCUCCAUCCAGAAUGGAUUCAUGGCACUGUCAAGUACUAUUUUCGUUGCUGUAGUGAGCUUUGUCUUUUUAUUUUCCCUUUUAUGAACUGAUCGCCAUAAUUGAUUAGAUAACGAGCCACUAGAGUUGUAAAUCAAACAAGCUCGAAUCAUAUGAAUUAGGAUAGUAGGUGAACUACCUUGUUCUCACAUUUGGAUUCUUGCUUCCUACAAAGAUGGUAGGAGUGGCAUUUCCUUAAUUGUGAGAAUAUGUUCAUAAUGUACUGUAGCAUUUAUCUAUCUACUUAUAUUUGAGUAAAGGUUGUGUUUACUGUGAUGAAUUCGACCUUCAGUAUGACAAGUAUGAAACUUACUAUGAAGUCAAAUAACCAAUUAUUCUGAGGUUAUAUUAAAAUAAAUUACCUGAUCAUCUCAGUUACUGUUACUCUUGUGCAUAACUUUUAGAGGGAGCGAGACACACUGGGUUCAAUGCUUGGUGGUGGACCGGUUGACUUCCACACCUCAUCGGCUGAGAAGUGCUUUGUGCUGUCCACUUGUUCAUCUCAAAUUUAGUAUUUCUGGUAGCAGAUGGUUGCUUUCUGUGUACUGUUCAGGUAGAUAGUCAUCAUUUAUCAGACAUUAUUUGUGCAGUGCCACUUCUCUAUCUCUCCGAGCAAUGGCAGUGUUUUCUCAAUUCCUCUCAUACCUAAUGAGGUGUCGCCAUCCAGAUAUUCUGGAGUGCAGGUCAGUUUUCCUGAUCUUGCUGUACAAAGCUCACUGCUUAAUGGAGCAUCAAUUGUAACCAUGAGAACAUAUAAUGAUAUAAAACAUUUUGUCCUUCAGGCCAUUCAGAGCUGGAUGUCCUCUGGCUGCGGCGACGUGGUUUCUGGCUUUGGGCGGCGAGCGCACCAUGACUUCUAAUAUUCUGUCAAGCUGCAUGACAUUGAGUUUAUGGUGGCGGUUGCUCAUGUGUUUGAUGUGUUGGGUCGAGCAUUUAUCUAUGUGUGUUCUUAUUUGAGAAAAUUGCAUGACACUGAGUUUAUGUUAAAGACGGAGUUUUUAAUUU